CCCACCCACCCCACCCUGCAGGUUCUAUCACUGGGCCACACACUGGAGGCAGUUAUAGUGGCCAAUUAACCUGCCAGUUGUUGGCUUUCAGGAGGAGGUAGGAAACUGGUACAUCCUGAGGGAACCCGUGAGGUCACAGGGAGAACAUUCAUCUCUUCACCUGCUGUACAGAAGCCCACCAGCUGUAAGCAAAGCACCUUACAGAUAGAAUCUUGCAAGCUAAUUUUACCUGCCAGCUUUCCUGGGAUUCUUGACCUGCCGUGGAUAAAAGUUAAAUUCACAAGCCACUCCACCGCUAAUCCAUCCUGGGGGGUGGGGUGGUGGGGGUAGUGGGUUAACAUUUAACCCAAACAGUAGACACUGAAAUAAUUUUGAGCUGUAACCUCAUCAUAUUGGAGGGUUUAUAAAAUUGUGACAAGCAUGUUGUUAAGGAGGCACAUCAAGGUUUGACACAACGCCUGGAGACACAACUGUCUACAUCAGCAACAAAGCAAAUCGCAAACAGGUUGAAGGUCAAGGUAUGCUGACAGGAGGAAUUCAUUGAAGGCAGUUCCUCACACGCAGCUUAAAAGGAGUGGAACUGUGGAAUUCGAGCAAUUCCAGGUGUGGAGAAAAAUAUCCCAAGACUGCCCAACAUCAAUGAGAUCUUCAAAUUGUGGUGUUUCAAGAAGGACCAACAUAAUCCAACACUAAGGACCUUCACCAUCUGGACAUGACCUCUUCUCAUUGCUACCAUUGGAAAAAAGGGGCCAAGGAUGUUACCUCUGGGCCAAAACUGAAGAUGUGGGAGAGAAAGAGAAAGAGCAAAAUCGUAGAUUUCAAAGGCAGAGGCAAAGCUAUGUAAGAUUCAGAUCAGAUUAAAGCAGAGACACAAGAGACUGCAGAUGCUGGAAUCUGGAGCAACAACCAAUCUGCUGAAGAAAUGCAGAGGGUUGAGCAGCAUCGAUACGAGAAAAGGAACUGUUGGCACUUUGAGUCAAAGCUCCACAUCAGCAUUUGUUAUGCAGAGUGAUCCCACCAGCGGUCAAAAGGCAGGUAGCCGGUGCUCACCCUCCACAUUCACUUCAAGGUUUCAAUCUCCCUCUUUGCUUUAAUCGGCGAACAAUGAAAGCUUCAAUCAGUGAAAUGGAGUUGAACAUCAGUUCGUGCCCUGUCCCGCAGUCUCCUUGCCACGAGGUUCGCGCACACUGCCUCUGCCUCCUGGAAUCCUCUCAGAGAAUACAGACGCUGGAACACCCAAACGAUCUCUAAACUGCAGAUUACAGGCUCCUACAGUUCCAGAGUCACAUUCAAGAUGAAAAACAGACACAAAAGUCAUAAAAGAAGUGAAAUAUAUGGUUUCAUUAUCAACUCAGUAUGUCGAAUGUGUGAGUGUUGCUCCCAGGUGCCAUCUUGACUGGAAUGUGGCUUGGUUUGUGGCUUGAAGGGAGCUCAAGGAGCUUCAGAAAAGUUGCAAGUAUUUGGCUUUUGUGGGUAUAAAGAACCAGAAUCCACUCUGUGUGCAUUGUUAUUGCAGGAUCUUCAAGUGGGAGACAAAAUGCUUCUUGUAAAAGUAAAUGCAAUAUCAACACCCAGCUGGAUGAAUGAAAAGCCAAAAAGAAAAGUGUCAAUGGAGAUUCAAGUACAGAGAAUUUGUCAGAUGAUGUUUUAGAUGAGGAACCAAAGAGGAGAUCAGAUUGUAAAGGGAGGAAUAGAGGAAUUAAUAAGAGAAUACUCCAGAGAAUAUUCCAGUGAACUAAACGGACCUUCCCAAGAUCAAUAUGCACAAACCAGAAGAAAAAAGAGAUGAAAGGUAUCCACAGCUGUCAGAACCACUUCCUACAGUCUCAGAGUCUACUCCUACGACUAUCAUGGAGGAGGCCCCAGAACUUGAGAUUGUAUUUACAGCCAUAAGUCUUAACCGCCAAGCAGAGGGAUUCCACCCCCCACCCCCAUCAGGGAGGACAUUAUCCCACAAGAGUAGGACUGCGGGGUGAUUAAAUCUUUCCAUCUGAAUGGGACAAUUUAACAUUUACUAUGCUGUGAAUGUCUGCAUAUUAUGUCUGCAUAUAUGUUCUAUUAUAUAUUAUACUGGAGUCUAUAGCUAAGUAGGGUGGAGUGUUGUGUAUUUGAUAUUUCAAUAAUAUUUGAGUAAUGUAUAUAUGCAGUAUAUUGUUUGAUUUAACAUUCAUUUUCAUUUAAACAAUUAGUUGUGGGUUAUAUGUAAAAAUGUAUUACUUGCAUAUGUCAUUAUGUUACGACCUGAUACGUGCAUGCAUCGCUUAAA